rnacentral:misc_RNA from 1 species
AGUUCCAUACACAUACCUCAGUUAAAAAUAGUUACUUUUUAAUGAUGAUUACUUGGCAAGUUUUAAUAGAAAAUUAAAUACUUGAUUCAUUGCGUGUAGUAGGUUUAUAACAAGGUGUGUGAAAUCUUGCCAAGUAACAUUAUUAAAAAGUAACUAUUUUUAACUGAGGUAUGUGUAUGGAACUUGGUACUUAUUAAGAUCUCACUUCUUUUAUAGGCGAAGCAUUCCCAUAUUAUCGAACUUGGCAGUCUUUCACAUUUUUGUUUUGGGUGGGUAGAAUUUAAUGUGAUUAGGUACGACACAUCUGAUAUAUCCAGAUGUUUUUGGCCUAUGCCUGUUGAACGAGUAUUUGUCAAAAAUAAUAAAUUAUCAUGUAUUUUUUAACAAGACGAAAAUAGCUUAGCAGCGUAUAGAAGCUUGCUUCGUAGCUGCUGGCGUAGCAUAGCAGCGUCGUAGCUGCUGGCGUAGCAUGGCAGCGUCGUAGCUGCUGGCGUAGCAUGGCAGCGUCGUAGCAGCGUAGCGUGCCAACAAAUAGUUUAAUCGGCAAUAUAGUGUGAGCGGGGCGGUGGAGACAAAGGAUUAAUGAAAUCAUUGAGCAGGCAAUAUCAUGUCACAAUUGGUAGGUAAUUACGCGCGGCGAGCGAGCCGAGCGCCUCGCCGGCCGCGCUCGCCAGUCGACGCUCGGGAGCCGGCGGCGCGGACGUGUCGUGCGGCGCUCUCGCGGUGCUCUUCGCGGCAACUAGUUCACGUGCGUCGAGUUUAUCCUGUGUUCAUCCAGUGUGUGCUGCUAUUCAUUAUUGCAUUACUAAUCUACAUUAACAUAUUUAAACUAACUAAACAUGGAGUUUACGUCAUCAUCUCAGUGAAAAAGUUUAUUGUAGCCCAAAAAUAUUGUGAAGUUAUUCUUAAAUCUGUUGCUCUUGUUUUUUAACACGCUUAUUUAUAAUCGCACAUCACUUUAGUAACAGUGAAUUUAAUAUUUUAAAAAGUGCAGUGAAAUCAGUUUAUCAGGCAGUUGCUUGAAUGAGACUCACAGUGAUGUUACAACAUAUAUCUGUCAUUCACAAGUUUAAGUUGAGGUGUGCGAGCAUCAGGUCGGCGUGCUGACUUGCUGAGCGCCGCUGACCGAGUGUCACGCUCCGGGGUAGGCUUCAAUCUUGAAUCAUGAAUUCAUAGGUGUGUUAGUAUCAAGAGGGCAACAGGGACAUGAGCGGCUGAAGAGGUUACCUCGGUAUACUUUAAACGCAG